GCACGAAUUUGCAGCUACAACAAGAUACAAUUAAAGAUAUAAUUAAAGGUAUCAACUCUUCAGGCCCAGGACCAUACCUCCAGUAUUUAGCUGGAAUUAAGGGAAGUGGGUAAGAUCACUUUUACAGAUGAAGAAUGCACUCACUCAGCAACUUACUGCCCGCCUAUCUGAAGUGAUUUAGUCCCUGAAGCCAAGAAGAAACAGGAAGAAGUUACAAAGGAAAGAGGAAGGACAAAAUGGGUCUUGUGGUGCUGGCCUGGAAGCUUGCUUCCCCUCUCUGCUCCCGGCCACGUGAGGAUGCAGGAAGUCGGCAGUGUACAAACCAGAAGAGGGCCCUCACCAGAACUCAAAAUGCUGGCACCCUGAUCUCUGACUUCCAGCCUCCAGAACUGUGAGAAAUAAAGUUCUGUUAUUUGUA